rnacentral:lncRNA from 1 species
GAUCCUCCACCCAGGAUAAGGUUUCUUGACUGAAAUCUGUUCAUGAAGAUAUCCCACCCACCUUCUACUGCCGCUUGGCAUCCUGAUUUGAGAUGAUUGCUAAAGGAAGAAAGAAAGCAGUUAAUUACCUGGGGAACUUCUGCAGAACUCCUGAAAAUGGAUGCUACAUUGCUAGUGAAGAUGUUUCAGAGUUUCUCAAACUUUGGCAUGCAUAAUAUCACCUGAGA